AGUGAACGCUGGCGGUAGGCCUAACACAUGCAAGUCGAACGGCAGCACAGUAAGAGCUUGCUCUUACGGGUGGCGAGUGGCAGACGGGUGAGGAAUACAUCGGAAUCUACUUUUUCGUGGGGGAUAACGUAGGGAAACUUACGCUAAUACCGCAUACGACCUACGGGUGAAAGCAGGGGAUCUUCGGACCUUGCGCGAUUGAAUGAGCCGAUGUCGGAUUAGCUAGUUGGCGGGGUAAAGGCCCACCAAGGCGACGAUCCGUAGCUGGUCUGAGAGGAUGAUCAGCCACACUGGAACUGAGACACGGUCCAGACUCCUACGGGAGGCAGCAGUGGGGAAUAUUGGACAAUGGGCGCAAGCCUGAUCCAGCCAUACCGCGUGGGUGAAGAAGGCCUUCCGGUUGUAAAGCCCUUUUGUUGGGAAAGAAAAGCAGCAGGUUAAUACCCCGCUGUUCUGACGGUACCCAAAGAAUAAGCACCGGCUAACUUCGU
rnacentral:rRNA from 1 species